UGAACGAGUCAGAGUGCAACAAUCUUAGAAUGACUGAGCAGAUCCGGGUUCUCAAGGAAGAAAUACGACGACAUGAACGCAACUAUGAAAGACAAAAGCAUGCUGUUAAUCUUGAGUAUCUUAAGAACAUUAUCAUGAAGUUUGUCACCUUGCGGGGUGGCAGCGAGAAAGAGCGGCUUGUACCAGUCCUCACGACAAUGCUGAAGCUGAGCCCUGACGAGAAAAAAGAUCUUGAAGCUGUUGUGACUAAGGAAAUGCAGCAAGAUGCAGCUGGGGCAUCUAACUGGGGCGGCUACCUACCUCGUUGGACAGGCUUUGUUGGAUGACAGCACAGACCUUGCAUGGAGAAGUGUAAUGUUGUGUACAAUAGUGUGAGGACUAAUUGUACAUAAAUGCAAUUUAUUUGUUUGAU